rnacentral:rRNA from 1 species
CUUUAAUUAGGCUAGUCUGGCGAAACACCGUCGCUUGUUUAGCGUGCCGACUCACCAACGAAGCGAAGCGGACGUGCCGACGCGCGUGCCGGCCUCGGGCCGCGAUAUUUUCCGGGGCCUCGCUGCGGAGAAGAAGGAGUCUCUCUGCGGAGUUGGGGGUGGGGUGGUGGGUGCUCGUUGUGCGUCGGUGUUAGGGUAGGGUGAGGUGCCACUCCAACUCGCUAGACUGCUCGGGAAGUCGUCGUCGUCGCUGCUGCCGCCGUCCAAACGAGAGACUUGAAGAGACCAGAAAAAUCGCCGUCGGUCGUCCUUGUGUGUCCUUUGGUUCCAGGGCAAGUUCCCCAAGCGAAGAAGACCCUAAUAAUCUAGCCUUCUCCGCGAGAGGAGAACGAGCCCUAGAAGAACUAAAGAACGGUUGGAGUGGUGAGAGGAUCCUCCUUGUCUCUCUAGGUCUCUUGGAAAAAAGAGAGGACCUAAGAACGGGAAAAAGUCGGAACAAAACGAAGCCAUGCCGGCCUUUCCCAAGAAAACGUUAUGGGAAGAUCAAGCAGGCUAAAUAAGGGGAGCAAAGAGAUUAAAAUAACUCCUUGUCCCGGGAAAAAAAAGAAAGAAAGACGAACGUGCUCUUUCGAAGGAAAAAAGGUAAGGCAAAAACCAAGCCGGAAGAGCUGUAGUGGAAGAAGAAGAUGGAGACAGGUUCGGGAGUACCGGCGACGGUAUCUGUACAUGUUCAUGUUGUGGUCGUGCGUGGUCUAGCCGAGGCGGCGGAGACGAAGCCUAGUCCUCGAGUACUUUCGUGAGCUUGGAAAAUAGUGCUAACGAAGGAGGAGAAGGAGAGUGAUGGGCAUGGUCAUGAUGAGAAGAGGGAGGUACUGGGUUUUAAGUAUGUACCGGUGGGGUAGCAGCAGGAUGCGGAGGAGCAAGCGUCAGAGAGGAGACGGGUGGUGGCGCGGGCGGAGCGGCAGAAAGAGCGUCGAAGGCGGCGAGAUGAGGAGCGUCAUACGGCGAAGCCCGUACUUGCCUAGGUACCCCGACCGGGUCGAGCCGGGCCGGGUCUAGGUCGUCUAGGUCCGGGUCAAGAAGCAGGUCGUCGUCGUCGUCGUCUCCCCGGACCGACCACCGAGCAAGGAACCCGGCGCGCGCGUCGGCUACUUCGUCAGGCCCAGCGGCGGCGCGCGCAGGCGGCGCCGCGACCGCGACCGGCCUCACCGCGGGCGCGUCAGGUUCGACAUGGCGCCGCACGCCGUCGCGGUGACCCCGUUCACCCACCGCCUCUAGGCGGAGGGGUUCUUGGCGUGCUCCGACACCGAGCCGUGGAAGCUGUGGCGGCUCCUGCGGCGCGAGCGGAUGCUGUUCCGGCGGAAGGCGGAGGCGCCGCUGGAGCGGGCGGAGUUGAAGGGCAGCGAGGCGGCGCCGCCGCGGGUGGACCGGCCGGGCGAGGUGCGGAGGCAGCUGCGGUUCGAGUGGCGGUAGACGCUCAGGGAGCGGCGCGGGAGCAGGUUCUUGAGCCUCGGCCUCAGGGGGUUCACGAGCCGCAGCUGCCUCCCGCUCCUGAGCCGCAGGCGGCCCAGGGGCGGCGGCGGGUGCGGCGGGCAGGGCCUCUACCUCUUCGACCUGAAGUGCCUCCGCGGCACCCUGCUCAGCCUCUGGAAGGUGGACGCGUUCAUGGGCAGGCACCUCUAGCUGACCCUGAGGUAGGACAGCACUUGUCGUUCGUCGACGAUGAUGAUCAUGUCAGAAGCAAUUCGAGGCAUCGAUACUACAUUAGAGAGGAACCUAGCUUAGCCGCCGACGAGACCGGGCUGCCGUAAAAUCUGCAGCCGGUACCGACGACGCGCAUCGUCAUUAAUUGAUCAUCGUCAUUCAUUCAUCGGUCACCACAAAUCAUUCUAGCAACGAUGAUGAUGCACCACAUUAACUAGAGGACCAGCUGGACGGCCGUCAAAAAAAGUGCCGUUCCGCCGGUCAGCUCUCCACAUUAGUACAAAUGGGCAACUUUCUUAACGUGAUCGAAUACAUUGGUAUACGCACAGACAGAGAACCACGUGACGAUGACUACGUCACUACACACUUUACACGAGAACCUCAACACCGGAUGCGUCUACGAAGCAUCACGGAAAAGACUAACACGGUUUCAUGUCAUAUG